rnacentral:lncRNA from 1 species
AAACGCGAAUAAUUAUAUUUUUAAUUAAUGUAAAUAUAAUUAAAGAAAAACUUUAAAAACUCCUCGCGUGGUUGCACACUUUUUCAUUUUAGUACUAUAUAAUUUAAAGUGUAUCAAGUUAGUACCAUAUGGUUUCUCACUUUAUCAUUUUAGUACCCUAUAGUCUAAAGUGUAUCAAGUUUAUUUUCUGUGGUUUUAUUUUUGUAUCAAGUUGGUUUUCUGUGGUUUUAUUUUUUUAUCAAGUUAGUACCCUGUGGAUUUAUUUUUUUAUCAAAUUAGUACCCUGUGGUUUUUAAACCACAUGGUACUAAAGUGAUAAAAUGCGAACCACAGGGUACUAAAGUGAUAAAGUGAAAAAACCACAGGGAACUAACUUGAUACACUUUAAACCACAGGGUACUAAAAUGAUAAAGUGAAAAAACCACAGGAUACUAACUUUAUACAUUUUAAACUAUAGGAUACUAAAAUAAAAAAAGUGAAACCACAAGGAGGGUAUUUGAAGUUUUUCCUAUAAUUAAAUAUGCAUAUAAUUUAAUACACUGCAGCUA